GGUCUAAUAGUGUAGUGGUUAUCACAAUGGAUUCUGAUGUCGAACACACAGAAGUUCCAUUAACCCAGGUUCGAGUCCUGGUUAGACCU